rnacentral:rRNA from 1 species
UACGAAGGGGGCUAGCGUUGUUCGGAAUCACUGGGCGUAAAGGGCGCGUAGGCGGCUUUUCAAGUCGGGGGUGAAAUCCUGGAGCUCAACUCCAGAACUGCCUUCGAUACUGGCGAUCUUGAGUCCGGAAGAGGUGAGUGGAACUCCUAGUGUAGAGGUGGAAUUCGUAGAUAUUAGGAAGAACACCAGUGGCGAAGGCGGCUCACUGGUCCGGUACUGACGCUGAGGUGCGAAAGCGUGGGGAGCAAACAGG